UGCCCGAUCAUGUAGCCAUUAUAAAUGGCAGCAAGUGGAAGCAGCUUGUCCCCGGUGCUCUAUGUGAGUGAGGGCCCGGGGUUGUCUGAUUCCUGAGAUGACACACCAAUCACUACACUAGACUAUGCUACACUAGUCUACACUACACUAGACUACACUGCACUAGACUACACUACACUACACUGGACUACACUACACUACACUGGACUACACUACACUACACUAGACUACACUACACUAGACUAUACUACACUAGACUAUACUACACUACACUAUACUACAGUACACUAGACUACAGUGCACUACGCUAGACUACAGUACACUACGCUAGACUACAGUAUACUACACUAGACUACACUACACUACAUUAGACUACACUACACUACACUAGACUACACUACACUAGACUACACUAGACUACACUAGACUACACUACACUAGACUACACUACACUAGACUAUACUACACUACACUAUACUACACUACACUACACUAGACUACACUACACUACACUAUACUAGACUACACUACACCACACUACACUAGACUACACUACACUAGACUACACUACACUACACUACACCACACUAGACUACACUACACUACACUAGACUACACUACACUACACGACACUAGACUACACUACACUAGACUAUGCUAGACUACACUACACUAGACUACACUACACUAGACUACACUAGACUACACUACACUACACUACACCACACUAGACUACACUACACUACACUAGACUAUGCUAGACUACACUAGACUACACUACACUAGACUACACUACACUAGACUACACUACACUAGUCUACACUGCACUACACUAGACUACACUAGACUACACGCUUCUCUCAUAUGAAGGAGAGACUAGCCCGCAGCCAGCCCAUGCUCCUAGGGCUCUUUUAGUACCUAUGUAACAUUCAUUUAAUGCGCUCUCUCAACACAUUUCAUCGCUCACAUUUCAUUGGUAAGUUCACAGUUUUAGUUGCGACUCUCUUGUGAACAAGGUUUCUUACAAGAGGAGGGGAAGCUGUACAAAUCACCCCUUUCUGGACACAGGGAGGGGACAGGAGAGAGGACGAGAGACAGAGCUGACUUCAUUGCAUGUCAGUACCAACUACC
rnacentral:lncRNA from 1 species